UGGGGAAUAUUGGACAAUGGGCGCAAGCCUGAUCCAGCCAUACCGCGUGGGUGAAGAAGGCCUUCGGGUUGUAAAGCCCUUUUGUUGGGAAAGAAAAGCAAUCGGCUAAUACCCGGUUGUUCUGACGGUACCCAAAGAAUAAGCACCGGCUAACUUCGUGCCAGCAGCCGCGGUAAUACGAAGGGUGCAAGCGUUACUCGGAAUUACUGGGCGUAAAGCGUGCGUAGGUGGUUGUUUAAGUCUGUUGUGAAAGCCCUGGGCUCAACCUGGGAAUUGCAGUGGAUACUGGGCGACUAGAGUGUGGUAGAGGGUAGUGGAAUUCCCGGUGUAGCAGUGAAAUGCGUAGAGAUCGGGAGGAACAUCCAUGGCGAAGGCAGCUACCUGGACCAACACUGACACUGAGGCACGAAAGCGUGGGGAGCAAACA
rnacentral:rRNA from 1 species